rnacentral:rRNA from 1 species
GUCAGCUCGUGUCGUGAGAUGUUGGGUUAAGUCCCGCAACGAGCGCAACCCCUACUUUUAGUUGCCAGCAUUCAGUUGGGCACUCUAAAGGAACUGCCGGUGACAAACCGGAGGAAGGUGGGGAUGACGUCAAAUCAUCAUGCCCUUUAUGUCCUGGGCUACACACGUGCCACAAUGGCCGGCACAGCGGGAAGCGAGGGGGCGACCUUGAGCGGAUCCCUCAAAGCCGGUCUCAGUUCGGAUUGCAGUCUGCAACUCGACUGCAUGAAGUUGGAAUCGCUAGUAAUCGUGGAUCAGCCAAGCCGCGGUGAAUACGUUCCCGGGCCUU